ACAACAUUCGGACCAUCGAUCUACAGAGCGAUAUCGCCCGCCCAGUGGAAGAUCUUCCCUUUGUCGU
rnacentral:pre_miRNA from 1 species